rnacentral:rRNA from 1 species
UACGUAGGGGGCAAGCGUUAUCCGGAUUUACUGGGUGUAAAGGGAGCGUAGACGGCUGCGCAAGCCAGAUGUGAAAGCCCGGGGCUCAACCCCGGGACUGCAUUUGGAACUGUGUAGCUGGAGUGUCGGAGAGGCAGGCGGAAUUCCUAGUGUAGCGGUGAAAUGCGUAGAUAUUAGGAGGAACACCAGUGGCGAAGGCGGCCUGCUGGACGAUGACUGACGUUGAGGCUCGAAAGCGUGGGGAGCAAACAGG